UUUAAACGUUAAGUGCGUCAGGGCCACUGUGAGAGCUUCGUGUCCAAGCCUCAGGGGGGCUGAGCUGCCUCCUUGCCCAGUUUGGCAGCCUGGUGCCUGAGGCCAUGCCACUCACUCCCCUGAGGUCCCCUACAGCUUGGCCAUGCCACCUGAGGUCCUGCCCCCCCACCCCCACCUCAGCAGGCACUGCUGCUCCCAGCCAUGGAGUUCUCUCAAAACCUUCCUCAAACCUUUUCCUCCCCUCCCCAACCCCCAGCCUAACAGCCUUCAGUUGCUCCAGAUUCCAGAAAAUAAAAGCAGGAAAGGUUGGCUGAACAGGGAAGGAAAAUAUGUCAAAAACAAAAGACAAAUGAUCAUCUCAGGAAAAGUUCCUGGCCCUCUAAACUCUGUGCGGGGUAGCCACACGUGCCCGUGGCAAAGCGCUGUGUCCUUGGAGAGCCCUGCAUGCUGCAACUGAAACCAACAAGACACGGCUCAGACAGGGAGCAGGUUCUGCUAACAGUGGGGAGGGGACAUCUGGCAGCGCCUCUCCCAAGCAGCAACGGUAGCAGUGGUGGCAGCAACAGCAGCAGCAGCUGGGGAGUGUCCGUCCAGCCUCAGAGUGAGCAGCAGCAGCUGACCAGAUUGGAAGACAUUUCCAAUGUCUUCCCUGGCAGCUGUGAUGUGUUGUGCGGUAGCAGCUGAGGAUUGCUGGUGUGUAAUCUUUGAGGUUCCAAGAUGCUUUUUGGAAGUGGAGCCUGGUCAAGCAGCAGAAAGGACAGCUGGAUCCAUGCUGGGUGGGGUGGGGUGGGGUGCAUGUCAGGGAAGUUGGCUUCAGCUGGAACUGGGGGUUGGCUUCAGCAAAGGAGGUUGAACAUCACUGAUUCCUGACCUGCAGCACCCAAAUGGUCACAAAGAGACGUCAUGGGUUUGAGGAGGCCACAGAGCCAACAGCGUUAGUGUCUUCAGAAGGAUGAAGAAAACUUGAACAACAUUUUAAAAUAGCUUUAUUGAGAUAUAAUUCACAUCCCAGAGAAUGCAUCCAUCUAAAGGGUACAAUUCAAUGGAUUUUUGUAUAUUCACAGAGCUGUGCAUUCAUCACUGCAAUUAAUUAUAGAACUUCUUCAUUUAUUCAAAAUACCCCAGCACCCCUUAGCUAUCACCCUAAUUCCUCUAUCUCCCCCAGCCCUAGGCAACCAUUAAUCUCCUUUUUGUAUCCAUAGAUUUGCCUAUCCUAGACAUUUCAUAUAAACUGAAUCAUGCAAUAUAGGACGCUUCUUUCACUUUGUGUAAUGCUGUCAAGGUACAUACAGGUUAUAUCAGUUUCUCAUUCUUUUUAUGACCAAAUCACAUUCCAUUGUAUGGAUAUACUACAUUUUAUUUAUCUGUUCAUCAGUUGGUGGACAUUUGGGUUGGUUUCCAUGUUUUUGGCUGUCAGAAAUAAUGUCGCCAUGAACAUUCAUGUACAAGCUUUUGUGGGGACAUGUGUUUUCAUUUCUCUUGGGCAUAUGCCUAGGAGUGGAAUUGAGUCACAUGGUAACUUUAUAACCAUUUGAGGAACGUCCAGACUGUUUUUCAAAGUGGCUACAACAUUGUACCUCCCCACCAGCAAUGUACAAGGGUUCCAGUUUCUCCACAUUUUUUUCAACUUUUUUUAUCAUUUGACUUUGUUUUUUUUUUUUUUUUUUUGAGACAGAGUCUCACUCUGUUGCCAGGCUGGAGUGCAGUGGCAUGAUCUCAGCUCACUGCAACCUCCGCCUCCAAGGUUCAAGCGAUUCUCCUGCCUCAGCCUCCCAAGUAGCUGGGACUCCAGGUACUUGCCACCAUGCCCAGCUAAUGUUUGUAUUUUUAGCAGAGAUGGGGUUUCACCAUGUUCAUCAAGAUGGUCUUGAUCUCUUGACCUUGUGAUCCACCCGCCUCAGCCUCCCAAAGUGCUGGGAUUACAGGCAUGAGCCACCACGCCUGGCCUCAUCUGACUUUUUAAUUAAAGCUAUCUUAGUGGACAUGAAGUGAUAUCUCAUUAUGGUUUUGAUUUGCAUUUCUCCCAUGGCUAAUAAUAUUCAGGACCUCUCUAUGUGCUUAUUGGCUAUUUGCAUAUCUUUUUUAAAGAAAUAUCUAUUCAGAUCCGUUGCUCAUUUUUGAAUUGGGCUAUUUGUCUUUUUAUUCUAGAGUUGUAAUUGUUCUUUAUAUAUUCUAGAUACAAGCAACUUAUUAUGUUUAUAAUUUGCAAACAAUUUUUUCCCAUUCUUUGGGUUAUCUUUUCACUGUUUUGAUAGUGUCUUUUGAAGCCCCAAAGUUUUUAAUUCUGAUGGUCAGUUUAUCCGUUUUUUCUUUAGUUGAUCUUGCUUUUGGUGUCAAUCUAAGAAUGCAGUGCCAAAUCCGGGGUCAUAAGGAUUUAUCACUAUGUUUUUUUCUGUGAGUUAUAGUUUUAGCUCUUAUUUAUAGGUCAUUGAUCCAUUUUGAAUUAGUUUUUUUAUACAGUGUGAAACAUGGAUCCAACUUCAUUCUUUUGCAUGUGGAAAUUCAAUUGUCCCCACAUCAUUUGCUGAGGGGACUAUUCUUUUUCCAUUGAAAGAGGUUGGCACUCUUGCUAAAAAUCAACUGGCCGUAGAUAUAUGGGUUAAUUUCUGGGCUCUCAGUUCCAUUCUGUUGAUGUAUAGAUCUGUCCUUAUGCCCAUACCACACUGUUUUGAUUACUUUCAUUUUGUAGCAGGUUUUAAAAUUGGGAAGCAUGAAUUAUCCAACUUUUUCAAGACUGCUUUGGCUAUUUGUGUUUUCUUGAAUUUUCAUAUGCAUUUUAAAAGCAACUUGUCCAUUACUGUAGUCAGAAUUUUGAUAGGGAUUGUAUUGAAUUUGGAAUCUGGGAGCAUUGCUAUCUUAAUAAUGUUAAGUUUUUCAAUCUAUAAACAUGGAAUAUCUUUCCACUCAUUUAGAUCUUCUUUAGUUUUCAACAGUAUUUUGUAGUUUUCAGAGCAUAAGUUUUGUACAUCUUUUGUUAAGUAUAUUCAUAAGUAUCUUUCUGAUGCUAAUAUAAAUGGAAUUUUUUUUUUUAAGACAAAGUUUUGCUCUGUCACCAAGGCUGGAGUGCAGCGGUGUGAUCUCAGCUCACUGCAACCUCUGACUCUCUGGUUCAAGUGAUUCUCCUGCCUCAGCCUCCCAAGUAGCUGGGAUUACAGGUGCCAACCACCACACCCGGCUAAUUUUUUGUAUUUUUAGUAGAGACAAGGUUUCACCAUGUUGGCCAGGCUGGUCUCGAACUCCUGACCUCAAGUGAUCCACCUGCCUCAGCCUCCCAAAGUACUGGGAUUAUAGGCGUGAGCCACUGUACCCAGACUGGAAUUGUUUUCUUAACUUCAUUUUUGAUUUGCUCAUAGCUAUUGUAUAGAAAUACAACUGAGUUUUGUACACUGACCACAUAUCCUUGUAAACUUGCUAAACUCAUUUAUUAAUUUAAUCCUUUUUAGUGAAUUCCUUAGGAUUUUCAACGUACAAGAUCAUGUUAUCUGCAAAUGAUGACAAUUGUACUUCUUCCUUUCCAAUAUGGAUGACUUUUACUUCAUUUCCUUGCCUCAUUGUCCUGGCUGGCCUCUUUAGUACAAUGUUGAACAAACAGAAGCUGUGUGAACAGACAUCCUUGUCUUGUUCCUGAUCUUCUGGGGAAAGCAUUUUGUGUUUCAGCUUUGAGUGAAAACCCAUUAGCCGUGGCCUUUUCUAGAUGUCCUUUAUCAGGUUGAGGAGACUGAGUUCUUCAGAGGAGGAGCUGUGUCAGCUCUGAGGUGACACAUAGCAUUGUCAGCUUUCGGAGUCUGAGGUCCUGGCUGACCGGCAGGAGAUGAUGUCCUGAAGGAUGUGGACAUGAUGUGCUGGGACUCUGGGGACUUGAGGGGAGACCCUGCUGCAGACCUGGGUAUGGGAAUAAAAAGGCAAUAUCAAAGGCAGUAAUUGGACCCAUGGGAGUGGACCAUCUCGGGAAGAGAAAAAAGCAUCAGGGGCAGAGAUGUGGGAGAGGGGAGGGGAGCCCGAGAAGUGGUCAGAGAAGGAGGAGAAAAUCCAGAUUGUGUAGGGAGGAGAGAAGUGCCCCAGCAGCUGAAGACGGUGCCAGAGCCUAAGAGCCUACUGGCUGGGGAAACCUUGCAGAAGAAUGGGCCAGACCCGCUGAGGGCCACCUGGUAGCCCAGCGCUGAGAGCUGUGCACGCGGCCUCACGACACCAGGUGGCGCGGUGGACCAUUCUAGCAGCCACUCCUCUUAGCCCUGGUGGUUUCUUUUCAUUAACGACAAAUGAAUGAGCUGGGGUCUCACCAAACCCCUGUUCAACCGAUUGGAACCUCUGAGAGGGGCUGUGACCUUCCUGAAAGCAUUACAGGGGCAUUGUAGCAAAGCUGGGGCUGCCUUCUCACCUCCUGGCUCCUAUCCCAGGAUCUCUCUCCAGUCACCCCCUACCCACCCCAAAGGGAUCUAGAAAAGUGGCUGGCAGAAUACCCGGUCAGAAGGCAGCCUGGAAGGACGUGAGGUCCACCAAACCCGUCUAGGUCCCCAGCAUCACCCGCUUUUCAGUGUUGCUUGCGAUGAGAUCACCUUCUGUGACUUUCCCAUCAGUUCUCUGCUCCUGGUUCCCCACUCCCCAUUCUCUUUCUACCCAUAGCCAAAUGAUUUUCAGUUUACGCCAAAUUGAGUCACUCCCCAUGCCCCCUGCCCCUGUAACAUCCCUCAGGGGCUCCAAAUUGCUCCUUACCCCCAUAUUCAUCUCCCUCAUCGCAGUCACACCCUGAGCCUACACUCAC